rnacentral:rRNA from 1 species
GGUUAAGCGACUAAGCGUACACGGUGGAUGCCCUGGCAGUCAGAGGCGAUGAAGGACGUGCUAAUCUGCGAAAAGCGCCGGCGAGGUGAUAUGAACCCUUGACCCGGCGAUGUCCGAAUGGGGAAACCCAGUGUGUUUCGACACACUAUCGUUAACUGAAUACAUAGGUUAACGAGGCGAACCGGGGGAACUGAAACAUCUAAGUACCCCGAGGAAAAGAAAUCAACCGAGAUUCCCCCAGUAGCGGCGAGCGAACGGGGAGCAGCCCGGAGUCUGAAUCAGCUUGUGUGUUAGUGGAACGGUCUGGAAAGUCCGACGGUACAGGGUGAUAGUCCCGUACACGAAAAUACACUUGCUGUGAACUCGAAGAGUAGGGCGGGACACGUGGUAUCCUGUCUGAAUAUGGGGGGACCAUCCUCCAAGGCUAAAUACUCCUGACUGACCGAUAGUGAACCAGUACCGUGAGGGAAAGGCGAAAAGAACCCCGGCGAGGGGAGUGAAAAAGAACCUGAAACCGUGUACGUACAAGCAGUGGGAGCACCUUCGGGUGUGACUGCGUACCUUUUGUAUAAUGGGUCAGCGACUUAUAUUCUGUAGCAAGGUUAACCGUAUAGGGGAGCCGAAGGGAAACCGAGUCUUAACUGGGCGUUAAGUUGCAGGGUAUAGACCCGAAACCCGGUGAUCUAGCCAUGGGCAGGUUGAAGGUUGGGUAACACUAACUGGAGGACCGAACCGACUAAUGUUGAAAAAUUAGCGGAUGACCUGUGGCUGGGGGUGAAAGGCCAAUCAAACCGGGAGAUAGCUGGUUCUCCCCGAAAGCUAUUUAGGUAGCGCCUCGUGAACUCAUCUUCGGGGGUAGAGCACUGUUUCGGCUAGGGGGCCAUCCCGGCUUACCAACCCGAUGCAAACUACGAAUACCGAAGAAUGUUAUCACGGGAGACACACGGCGGGUGCUAACGUCCGUCGUGAAGAGGGAAACAACCCAGACCGCCAGCUAAGGUCCCAAAGUCAUGGUUAAGUGGGAAACGAUGUGGGAAGGCACAGACAGCCAGGAUGUUGGCUUAGAAGCAGCCAUCAUUUAAAGAAAGCGUAAUAGCUCACUGGUCGAGUCGGCCUGCGCGGAAGAUGUAACGGGGCUAAACCAUGCACCGAAGCUGCGGCAGCGACACUAUGUGUUGUUGGGUAGGGGAGCGUUCUGUAAGCCGUUGAAGGUGUGCUGUGAGGCAUGCUGGAGGUAUCAGAAGUGCGAAUGCUGACAUAAGUAACGAUAAAGCGGGUGAAAAGCCCGCUCGCCGGAAGACCAAGGGUUCCUGUCCAACGUUAAUCGGGGCAGGGUGAGUCGACCCCUAAGGCGAGGCCGAAAGGCGUAGUCGAUGGGAAACAGGUUAAUAUUCCUGUACUUGGUGUUACUGCGAAGGGGGGACGGAGAAGGCUAUGUCAGCCGGGCGACGGUUGUCCCGGUUUAAGCAUGUAGGCGGAGGUUCCAGGUAAAUCCGGUACCUUUUAACGCUGAGGUGUGAUGACGAGGCACUACGGUGCUGAAGUGAUAAAUGCCCUGCUUCCAGGAAAAGCCUCUAAGCAUCAGGUAACACGAAAUCGUACCCCAAACCGACACAGGUGGUCAGGUAGAGAAUACCAAGGCGCUUGAGAGAACUCGGGUGAAGGAACUAGGCAAAAUGGUGCCGUAACUUCGGGAGAAGGCACGCUGAUAUGUAGGUGAAGCCCCUGCGGGCGGAGCUGAAAUCAGUCGAAGAUACCAGCUGGCUGCAACUGUUUAUUAAAAACACAGCACUGUGCAAACACGAAAGUGGACGUAUACGGUGUGACGCCUGCCCGGUGCCGGAAGGUUAAUUGAUGGGGUUAGCGGCAACGCGAAGCUCUUGAUCGAAGCCCCGGUAAACGGCGGCCGUAACUAUAACGGUCCUAAGGUAGCGAAAUUCCUUGUCGGGUAAGUUCCGACCUGCACGAAUGGCGUAAUGAUGGCCAGGCUGUCUCCACCCGAGACUCAGUGAAAUUGAACUCGCUGUGAAGAUGCAGUGUACCCGCGGCAAGACGGAAAGACCCCGUGAACCUUUACUAUAGCUUGACACUGAACACUGGUCCUUGAUGUGUAGGAUAGGUGGGAGGCUUUGAAGCGUGGACGCCAGUCUGCGUGGAGCCGUCCUUGAAAUACCACCCUUUAAUGGCUGGUGUUCUAACGUAGACCCGUGAUCCGGGUUGCGGACAGUGUCUGGUGGGUAGUUUGACUGGGGCGGUCUCCUCCCAAAGAGUAACGGAGGAGCACGAAGGUUGGCUAAUCCUGGUCGGACAUCAGGAGGUUAGUGCAAUGGCAUAAGCCAGCUUGACUGCGAGCGUGACGGCGCGAGCAGGUGCGAAAGCAGGUCAUAGUGAUCCGGUGGUUCUGAAUGGAAGGGCCAUCGCUCAACGGAUAAAAGGUACUCCGGGGAUAACAGGCUGAUACCGCCCAAGAGUUCAUAUCGACGGCGGUGUUUGGCACCUCGAUGUCGGCUCAUCACAUCCUGGGGCUGAAGUAGGUCCCAAGGGUAUGGCUGUUCGCCAUUUAAAGUGGUACGCGAGCUGGGUUUAGAACGUCGUGAGACAGUUCGGUCCCUAUCUGCCGUGGGCGCUGGAGAAUUGAGGGGGGCUGCUCCUAGUACGAGAGGACCGGAGUGGACGCAUCACUGGUGUUCGGGUUGUCAUGCCAAUGGCACUGCCCGGUAGCUAAAUGCGGAAGAGAUAAGUGCUGAAAGCAUCUAAGCACGAAACUUGCCCCGAGAUGAGUUCUCCCUGAGACUUUAAGUCUCCUGAAGGAACGUUGAAGACGACGACGUUGAUAGGUCGGGUGUGUAAGCGCAGCGAUGCGUUGAGCUAACCGAUACUAAUGAACCGUGAGGCUUAACCUU